GACGAACGCUGGCGGCGUGCUUAACACAUGCAAGUCGAACGAAGAGCGAUGGAAGCUUGCUUCUAUCAAUCUUAGUGGCGAACGGGUGAGUAACGCGUAAUCAACCUGCCCUUCAGAGGGGGACAACAGUUGGAAACGACUGCUAAUACCGCAUACGAUCUAAUCUCGGCAUCGAGGAUAGAUGAAAGGUGGCCUCUACAUGUAAGCUAUCACUGAAGGAGGGGAUUGCGUCUGAUUAGCUAGAUGGAGGGGUAACGGCCCACCAAGGCGAUGAUCAGUAGCCGGCCUGAAAGGCUGCACGCCCACAUUGGGACUGGGACACGGCCCAGCAUCCUACGGGAGGCAGCAGUGGGGAAUCUUCCGCAAUGGACGCAAGUCUGACGGAGCAACGCCGCGUGAGUGAUGACGGCCGUCGGGUUGUAAAGCUCUGUUAAUCGGGACGAAAGGCCUUCUUGCGAAUAGGGAGAAGGAUUGACGGUACCGGAAGAGAAAGCCACGGCUAACUACGUG
rnacentral:rRNA from 1 species